ensembl:lncRNA
AAUUAACAACACUGAAAACUGCAACACCGCGAAAACAAGGCUUCCUUCACACUACAUGCAAAACGCAACAUCGGAGGCCUUGCAGAAUGGAAGUGCAGAAGGACCCAUCUGAGGAACAAAGAUUAUGAUUACGCUUUGGAAACACCAGGGAAGAAAACAUGAAAAACAGAUUUGAGAGAAGCACAUAAAUGGAAAACAAAGGCUGGCAACUUUGAUACGCCAUAUGGAGUGACGGGGUGACAGAAGAAGAAGUAAAAUAGUCCAAACACUGAAAACUUGGUAGGCAAGGCCAACAAAUUUGUUUGCAGCAGUUUUUUCAGGGAUUCAGAUUGGAAGGAUGAUAAAUAUUUAUGAGGAAGUUUUUAAAUUGCCAUGGUGAAAGAACAUGGUCAGUGUGUUAAAGGAAUCGCUGUUUGGUGUCAGCACUGAACAUAAGAUACUCU